ACGGCUCAGUAACACGUAGUCAAUCUACCCUAUGGACGGGAAUAACCUCGGGAAACUGAGAAUAAUGCCCGAUAGAACAUUAUGCCUGGAAUGGUUUAUGUUUCAAAUGAUUUAUCGCCAUAGGAUGGGACUGCGGCCUAUCAGUUUGUUGGUGAGGUAAUGGCCCACCAAGACUAUUACAGGUACGGGCUCAGAGAGGAGUAGCCCGGAGAUGGGUACUGAGACACGGACCCAGGCCCUAUGGGGCGCAGCAGGCGAGAAAACUUUGCAAUGUGCGAAAGCACGACAAGGUUAAUCCGAGUGGUUUCUGCUAAAGAAACCUUUUGUCAGUCCUAGAAACACUAACGAAUAAGGGGUGGGCAAGUUCUGGUGUCAGCCGCCGCGGUAAAACCAGCACCCCAAGUGGUCAGGAUGAUUAUUGGGCCUAAAGCAUCCGUAGCCCGUUUUGUAAGUUUUCGGUUAAAUCCAUGCGCUUAACGUAUGGGCUGCCGGGAAUACUGCAUAACUAGGAAGUGGGAGAGGUAGACGGUACUCGGUAGGAAGGGGUAAAAUCCUUUGAUCUAUUGAUGACCACCUGUGGCGAAGGCGGUCUACCAGAACACGUUCGACGGUGAGGGAUGAAAGCUGGGGGAGCAAACCGGAUUAGAUACCCGGGUAGUCCCAGCUGUAAACUAUGCAAACUCAGUGAUGCAUUGGCUUAUGGCCAAUGCAGUGCUGCAGGGAAGCCGUUAAGUUUGCCGCCUGGGAAGUACGUACGCAAGUAUGAAACUUAAAGGAAUUGGCGGGGGAGCAC
rnacentral:rRNA from 1 species